GUGAAUCAUCAAAUUUUUGAACGCAAAUUGCACUCUCUGGUAUUCCGGGGAGUAUGCUUGCUUGAGGGUUAUUUGGUUACAAAUAUAUAAAGAAAUUUUUACGAAUCUGGAUUUUCUAAUAGUUUUUUUUUUGGUAAUCUAAAAUUUAUCAUAACAAUAGUUGAUAUGGUAAAUGUUUAUUUUUGAUUCAUUAACAAUUAUUACCAAAUUCGUUACGUCGUUUUGUUUUUCUAAUUUCUUAAUUAGUUAAAUGUAUUAC
rnacentral:misc_RNA from 1 species